CCACGGUCUCUGUUUUUUUCUGAAGAAAGGGAAGUACACUGAGAAAACACUUAAAACGGGACAGCGGCGCAGCACGCAGCUACUUGUGUGCUCAUGCUGUGCUACAGAGCUACCUCAAAGCUUCGUGCGUCUGCUCCUUUUUCAGCGGAGGCUUGGGGGUAGUAGAGGUAGAAGACGGCUUCGCUGUUCGUGCAGGAGCGAAGCUGUAUCCAGGUAGAGCUAGACGUCAGCUCACUAGCUCAGUCGUCAGUAUUCAUCAGCAGACAGCAGUACAAGCUAGGAAGAGAAAGGGACAUUUCUCUGUUUGCAGGACACGUACACCGGGGCCGAAUCGUGACGACAUGGACGGCAAUGCGAGGCCAGCAGCGAAUCAGAAGAAGCCCAUCGUCCCGGACGACGACCUCGUGGAGCUGCUGUGGCACAACGGGAGCGUCGUCGCGCAUCCCCAGGCGCACCAGCGGCCGGAGCCCUCCGACCGCCCGGGCAGCAGCGGCCUCACCGGCGAGGAGACCGCCGCGUGGUUCCCGGACACCCUCGACGACGCGUUUGAGAAGGACCUGUACACGCAGCUCUGGUACAGUAGCAUUGUCGACGCCGCCCCGCACCACGGGGACACGCUCCCGGGCCCUAGCUCGCCGCCGCCGCCGCCGCCGCCGCCGGAGCUGGCGCACCCGGUGACGCCGCCGGUGGGGAGUGGCGGCGUCGAAUCGAGCUGGGCCGGCGACAUCUGUUCGACCUUCUGCGGCAGCAACCAGGUGCCCAGGAUGCCGGCAGGGGUCAACAGGGGGGAGGACGCGUCAUUGCAGUCGGAGGUGCCGCACGGUGCCGGCGCCGGCACAUCGUCGUCCGGCGGGUCCGGAAGCAACUAUGGGGGAUCCGGGCUGCCGAGUGACAGCGGCCACGUCCAGAAAGGGAAGGGGAUGUGUAGAGACGACUCGGAUAGUCGGAGUGAGGAUGCCGAGUGUGAGGAAACUGAGGAGACCAAAUCAUUGAGGCGAUGCGGAACGAAGCGCAGGACUCGCGCAGCUGAAGUUCAUAAUCUCUCUGAGAGGAGAAGAAGAGACCGGAUCAAUGAAAAGAUGCGCGCCUUGCAAGAGCUGAUACCGCACUGCAACAAGACUGACAAAGCGUCGAUAUUAGAUGAGACAAUUGAGUAUCUGAAGUCCCUCCAGAUGCAAGUUCAGAUCAUUGGGAUGACUUCUGGGAUGGCACCGAUGAUGUUUCCUGGUGCUCACCAAUUCAUGUCACCAAUGGCUCUAGGCAUGAAUUCAGCUUGCAUCACUGCAGCACAAGGCCUAAGUCAGAUGCCAAGACUACCAUACAUGAACCUUCCCCUGCCAAAUCACAUCCCUUUGAACUCAUCUCCAGCUAUGAAUCCAAUUAAUUCACCAAGUAUCGCGAACGAGAUGCAAAAUGUUCAUCUCAUGGAGGCAAGUAAUCACUUCCUUCACCCCAGGUGGCGCGCAAACAUCGGUACCUCAGGAUCAGGACUGCAAUGUCGAUUUGCAAAAGGGUCUUCUUUCUGGCAAUUACUGAAAAUGAUGAGCAGAUGACAUCCAUAUUGCAGUACUACUCACGGUUGAUAUGACAAUAGCAGUCUAUAUAUGCAUGCUAUAAGUACAUUUUUUCUGUUUCUGAGAAGAAUGUUGAAAUGAUCGUUGUGAACUGACCAAAUCCUACCAACAGGUCCUACAGACAGGUUUUGGAUGACAGAUCUCUAAAUUCAAAAGUACAGAUCAAUCAGUCUUGUCUUUUUGCCUGGUCCUAUUUCUGGAGAACUAACACAUACAACGUUGAUCUUAUCUAUAGCUUACCAACACCAUUUUCUGCGUGUGGAAAGAUUUGAUCCGCAGGAGAUUUGAUCUGCCAGCUUAUAUUGGAUCUGCUUGCGGGCCACAUGACACGGCAUGCUUAAUGGCUAUGGUUUCAGCAUCCUCCUGGUGUUCUUGUGGCUCACAGAAGCUGGGAGAAUCUGUGUGGAGCCCUGUACUUUCAAAGUGCCACUGCCAGCCUCUCAUCUUCAGCCCGGAGAUGUUUUUCAAGACAUGGGGGUUUUGGCCCCAAGCUUUUCCCUGAUGUUACAGUGCUCAAGUGCAUGUUACAUGCAUGGUCCUAUCAACACAUGCUACUGGGGCCUGCUCACUGCAGCUGGUGAUAAUAGGACCUCAGUCUCUCACCGCUCAUAUCUCAUGAGGUUUCCUGUCAACCACAUUUGGGUCCCCUGGCACUCCCUCUCGUUACCCUGCUGUUGCUCUCGUCUCUUGGUUAUUCUUUGGAUUUGGAUGCAUAUAGGCACAUAGCUUGUCACUCGCCUGUGCCUUUCAGAGUGUUUGAAUACAAAUAGUGAAUUGCCCUC